UUCUUCCCUAUAUUUUCCCAAAAUAUCGACAGCCCCUCUUCCUCCCUCCAUAAACACUUUCUUCAUAAAAUCUCAUCUUUAUUUAUGAAUUGAUGAAACAAUUGCAUGAUUGGAUUAUUUUGGAGGAUAGAAAAAAAGAUUGGCGAAAGAAGAAACGAUAAAUGGAAAGGUUUGGAAAUAAACGCUGUCCAGGUAGCAUGCUCAACACUUAAAGCCCAAUUCUCUUAUGUGUUUUUAUGUGAAAGUUAAAUGUCCUUAUGUGCUCUAUGUGAUUAUAUGUGAAUAUGUGAAUUAAUUAUGGAAUAAGAGACUAAUAAGUAAACUAUGAAAAUAUGAUGAAUGGGUUGUAUUCAGAUUCAUAAGUUAAAUAGUGUUAAAAAUCAAAACACUUGUAGUCCAUUGGAUCAUGUGAUCUAAUGGUCAGAUUAAUGCCACGUGUCAUGUAGUAAUAUAGAUUAUUAGUCUAAUAAUGUAACUUAGCUAAUAAUGUACAAUUUUAGUAAAAUAAUGUACCAUUUUAUUAUAAUAAUGUACCUCGGCUAGUAAUGUACCAUCUUAGACUAAAAAUGUAAUUUAUCACAACCAUCCAAUCUAAGGAUCCAAGGGCUUAGAUUUGCUUUGAUUUUUGACAGAAUUUCACUUAUUGACCAUAGCGCGCCCCUAUGAUGAAUUAUUGCAAAUUUGGCAAUGAAUUAGGAAAAAAGGGAAGAAUACGAGUUUAUGUUAUUCCUCUACUUGUUUGCAUUAGGUUAUAAGAUAAUGUUUUCUGCAUUAGGUUUCAAUUCCUGAAUUAAGUCUAUGUGAUUGCAUAUAUAAUAUUGCGUGCCAAUUAGUAAUAAAUAUAUGAUCAGAAUAUGUUGCUUAUCAUAUGAAAUAUGUGAAUUCUGGAUAUGUGAUGGUAUUGAGAGAGUUAGAAUUUAAUCAGUUAAGUUGAUAUAAUAUGGAUGACAACAAGUUGUUGAUGUGUAACGUUAGAGAUUAUUGGAAAUAAAGAAGUAAGUAAUUUGAUGUAAAUGAGUAUAAUUGACUGUGUGUACGCCCCGUGCUCAAGUGUAUUCUGUGGGUACAAUUGGCAUGCCAUAGGACAGUAGCGCUGCAAUAGCUGCAAUCAUUCGUCUUCUAGAUAACCGAAGCGAGGAUCGUCUCUGUCUCUGAUCUGAUCUUUGUCUCUGAUUUAUCCGGUAUCUGUGAUCUCUGAUCUUUGUCUCUGGCUGCACCCUAAAUGGGUGGUCUGUGCGGAGUCCUCUCGAGGACAAAUUCCGCUCUGUAUCUGAUUCUGUUUCUGAUUUGGUGAAAUUUCGUGAUGAUGUCAAUCAAAUUAGAUGACGAUAUAUGUGAUAUAUGAGUUUAUUUGAAAUAUCUGUUAUAAUGUGAUAUAAACAUUGAAAACCCGAGAACUUGAAAUUGGAUUCUGUUAUGAUAUAAAUAUUGAAAACCUGAGAACUUGCUGAGAAUGGUUAUGUCAUGAGUUAAGAAUUCGUAUUACCAUGCACUUUCUAGACACGUAGUUUGGAAUUUGAUGUCGUGGAUGAAGAUUUGACUGUUGGUAUGUGUAUGUUGAUAUGCUCGGUUACUGAAUAAGUAAAUCGCUAAUGAGGUAAAAGUAAUUCGAAAUAUUUGGCUAUUUUAGUAUAAUUUUAGUGGAUUACUAAUAUUUAUCUAGAAUUUUAGUAUAAUUUUGUCAUUUUCAACUAAAUUCUUUGAACAACACUACUAUCUAUUUUAUUCUAGAUAUAUAGGGACUAGCUAGAGCGGAGGGAUUCCGUUAAUGGAACAUAUUGAGAUUUCAUGUAGAAUUCCUUGGCGUCGUCUAAAUCAUUUAUGGUUUUAUUCUUCGAAUAAAUAAAUUUCAAUAGCU